rnacentral:rRNA from 1 species
AGGUAAGCUACUAAGAGCGAAUGGUGGAUGCCUUGACUGGUAAAGGCGAUGAAGGACGUACUAGACUGCGAUAAGCUACGGGGAGCUGUCAAGAAGCUUUGAUCCGUAGAUUUCCGAAUGGGGCAACCCAAUGUAUAGAGAUAUACAUUACCUAUAUAGGAGCGAACGAGGGGAAUUGAAACAUCUUAGUACCCUCAGGAAAAGAAAUCAAUAGAGAUUGCGUCAGUAGCGGCGAGCGAAAGCGCAAGAGGGCAAACCCAGUGCUUGCACUGGGGGUUGUAGGACUGCAAUGUGCAAGAGGUAAGUUUAGCAGAACAUUCUGGAAAGUAUAACCAUAGAGGGUGAUAGUCCCGUAUGCGAAAAACAAACCUUAGCUAGCAGUAUCCUGAGUAGGGCGGGACACGAGGAAUCCUGUCUGAAUCCGGGUCGACCACGAUCCAACCCUAAAUACUAAUACCAGAUCGAUAGUGCACAAGUACCGUGAGGGAAAGGUGAAAAGAACUGAGGUGAUCAGAGUGAAAUAGAACCUGAAACCAUUUGCUUACAAUCAUUCAGAGCCCUAUGUAGCAAUACAGGGUGAUGGACUGCCUUUUGCAUAAUGAGCCUGCGAGUUGUGGUGUCUGGCAAGGUUAAGCAAACGCGAAGCCGUAGCGAAAGCGAGUCUGAAUAGGGCGCUUAGUCAGAUGCUGCAGACCCGAAACGAAGUGAUCUAUCCAUGAGCAAGUUGAAGCUAGUGUAAGAACUAGUGGAGGACUGAACCCAUAGGCGUUGAAAAGCCCCGGGAUGACUUGUGGAUAGGGGUGAAAGGCCAAUCAAACUUCGUGAUAGCUGGUUCUCUCCGAAAUAUAUUUAGGUAUAGCGUUGUGUCGUAAUAUAAGGGGGUAGAGCACUGAAUGGGCUAGGGCAUACACCAAUGUACCAAACCCUAUCAAACUCCGAAUACCUUAUAUGUAAUCACAGCAGUCAGGCGGCGAGUGAUAAAAUCCGUCGUCAAGAGGGAAACAACCCAGACUACCAGCUAAGGUCCCUAAAUCUUACUUAAGUGGAAAACGAUGUGAAGUUACUUAAACAACCAGGAGGUUGGCUUAGAAGCAGCCAUCCUUUAAAGAAAGCGUAAUAGCUCACUGGUCUAGUGAUUUUGCGCGGAAAAUAUAACGGGGCUAAAGUAAGUACCGAAGCUGUAGACUUAGUUUACUAAGUGGUAGGAGAGCGUUCUAUUUGCGUCGAAGGUAUACCGGUAAGGAGUGCUGGAGCGAAUAGAAGUGAGCAUGCAGGCAUGAGUAGCGAUAAUUAAUGUGAGAAUCAUUAACGCCGUAAACCCAAGGUUUCCUACGCGAUGCUCGUCAUCGUAGGGUUAGUCGGGUCCUAAGUCGAGUCCGAAAGGGGUAGACGAUGGCAAAUUGGUUAAUAUUCCAAUACCAACAUUAGUGUGCGAUGGAAGGACGCUUAGGGCUAAGGGGGCUAGCGGAUGGAAGUGCUAGUCUAAGGUCGUAGGAGGUUAUACAG